GGCUCCAGAGAACCUGUCCUGGUUCUCCCUUCUCCUACCUCCAAGAAGUGGAUAUACUCUCCAUCAGGAAGGCCCCCUGAUGAGAGCACUUGUGAGGGGGAAGAAAGGCAAUUUUGGCUAAAAGACUUGGAAUCAGCUGCAAGUCAAGCUGGGGACAUGAGUGGGAGUAGAGUGAAUUCAGCAUUCAAGAAAGCAUCCACCACCUCACAGUUCACCCAAUAAUAAAAAUUGAUGGCAGCUUUAUUUAGGUGAUAAUAGGAGUGUGAUGCUGCUUUAUGAGGCUGUAAUCCAAUUCCCAAGUGAAUGAAUACUCUCCAAGGCCACACAGUUUCUCCUGACAAUCCAAAGAACUGAAUUAUUGACCAGAAAAAUGCUGGUGUUCC
rnacentral:lncRNA from 1 species